GACAGUUUGGCCGAGUGGUCUAAGGCGCCAGAUUUAGGCUCUGGUUCGAAAGGGCGUGGGUUCAAAUCCCUCAGCUGUCA
rnacentral:tRNA from 1 species